rnacentral:rRNA from 1 species
UUUAGUGGGGAAUAACUGUUGGAAACGACAGCUAAUACCGCAUAAUAUUGCUGGAUAAUUUCCAGUAAUGAAAGGAGCUUUCAAGCUCCGCUGAUUGAUGAGGAUGCGGCGCAUUAGCUAGUUGGUAGGGUAAUGGCCUACCAAGGCAAUGAUGCGUAGCCGAUCUGAGAGGAUGAACGGCCACAUUGGGACUGAGACACGGCCCAAACUUCUACGGAAGGCAGCAGUAGGGAAUUUUUCACAAUGGGCGAAAGCCUGAUGGAGCAAUGCCGCGUGACUGAUGAAGGUCUUCGGAUUGUAAAGGUCUGUUGUAAGGGAAGAAAUGGUAAAACAGGAAAUGGUUUUAUCUAUGACGGUACCUUACCAGAAAGCCACGGCUAACUAUGUGCCAGCAGCCGCGGUAAUACAUAGGUGGCAAGCGUUAUCCGGAUUUAUUGGGCGUAAAGGGUGCGUAGACGGUUUUGCAAGUCUGAGGUUAAAUUUAGGAGCUCAACUCCUAAUCGCCUUGGAAACUACAAGACUAGAGUAUAGGAGAGGUUAGUGGAAUUCCAUGUGUAGCGGUGGAAUGUGUAGAUAUAUGGAGGAACACCAGUGGCGAACG